GACGGGGGGGGGCAAGUGUUCUUCGGAAUUACUGGGCGUAAAGGGCGCGUAGGCGGCCUUCUAAGUCGAACGUGAAAUCCCCGGGCUCAACCCGGGAACUGCGUCCGAGACUGAAAGGCUUGAAUCCGGGAGAGGGAUGUGGAAUUCCAGGUGUAGCGGUGAAAUGCGUAGAUAUCUGGAGGAACAUCGGUGGCGAAGGCGGCGUCCUGGACCGGUAUUGACGCUGAGGCGCGAAAGCCAGGGGAGCAAACGGG
rnacentral:rRNA from 1 species